rnacentral:tRNA from 1 species
GGGAAGGUGGCAGAGUGGUAGAGUGCUUGCCUUGCAUGCAUGAGGCCCUGGGUUCAAUUCCCCAGUGAUACCA